CCGUGUAUGUGAUUUUAUUCAUCCAUGAUCUUUUACAAGGACAUGUAGGGAUAGGACAAAGGGUAAUGGCUUUAAACUGAACGAGGCUAAUUUGGAUUAGGCAUUAGGAAGAAAUUCUUCACUAUGAGGGUGGUGAGGCAUUGGAACAGGUCACCCAGAGAAGCUGUGGCUGCCCGACCUCUGGCAGUGUUCAAGGCCACAUUAGGCUGGGCUUUGAGCAACCCCAUCUAGUAGAAGGUGUCCGUGACUGUGGCAAAGGGUUGAAACUAGAUGAGCUUUAAUAUCCCUUCCAACCCAAACUGUUUUAUGAUUCUAUGAAUACUUUGAGUUGGAAGGGACCCGUAAGGAUCAUGCAACGCUACACACAUGGGCAAGAGCAGCUGGAAAGCUGCUCCGCAUAAAGGGACCUGGGGGUGCUGACUGAUGGAGCUAAACAUGAGCCAGCUUGUGCCCAUGCAGCCAAGGCAGCCAAUGACAUCCUGGCCUGUGUCAGAAACGGUGCGGCGAGCAGGGCCAGGGCAGUGAUCAUCCCCCUAUACUCGGCACUGGUGAGGCUGCAUCUCGAAUCCUGUGUUCAGUUCUGGGCCCCUCACUGCAAGAGAGACAUAGAGUUGCUGAAGCGGGUCCAGAGAAGGGCAACAAAGCUGGUGAAGGGUCUGGAGAAUAAGUCCUGUGAGGAAUGGCUGAGGGAACUGGGGUGGUUUAGUCUGGAGAGGAGGCUCAGGGGGGAACUUAUCCCUCUAAACUACCUGAAAGGAGGAUGAGCGAGGAGGGGGCUGGUCUCUUUUCCCAAGCAACAAGCAAUAGGACAAGAGGUAACGGCCUCAAGCUGCACCAGGGGAGGUUUAGAUUGGAUAUUAGGAAAAAUUUCUUCACCUUAGAGGGCGAUCGAGCAUCGAACAGGCUGCUCAGGGAAGUGAUGCAAUCACCAUUCCUGGAAGUGUUCAAAAACCAUGCAGGUUAGGCCCUUAGUGAUAUCAUUUAGUGAUGGACUUGGCAGUCCUGCGGUAAUGGCUGGACUUAAUGAUCUUAAAAGGUCUCUUCCAACUUAGCUGAUUCUAUGAUUCUACCAAGACCAACUCCCUGCUCCUCGCAGGACUACCUAAAACUAAACCGUAUGACAAAGCAUCACCCAGAUGCUCCCUGAACUCUGACAGGCUUGGUGCUCCACUUCCCGGGGAGUCUGUUAUAGUGACUGGCUCAAUUCUGCCAAAAAUCAGCUGAAGUCUUUAUGUUUUACCACUCUUACACUCAGUCUAAAUUAAAAAAAAAAAAGAAAAACCAAA
rnacentral:lncRNA from 1 species